rnacentral:rRNA from 1 species
AGCUCCAAUAGCGUAUAUUAAAGUUGUUGCAGUUAAAAAGCUCGUAGUUGGAUUUCGGGUCGGGCCGGUCGGUCGGCCGCAAGGUCUGCUACUGACCUGUCUGGCCUUCUUCCUGAAGACUGCGUGUGCUCUUAAGUGAGUGUACGUAGGAUUUUGGACGUUUACUUUGAAAAAAUUAGAGUGUUCAAAGCAGGCUCGCACGCUUGAAUACAUGAGCAUGGAAUAAUGGAAUAGGACUUUGGUUCUAUUUUGUUGGUUUCUGGGACCGAAGUAAUGAUUAAGAGGGACAGUUGGGGGCAUCCGUAUUUCGUUGUCAGAGGUGAAAUUCUUGGAUUUACGAAAGACGAACAACUGCGAAAGCAUUUGCCAAGAAUGUUUUCAUUAAUCAAGAACGAAAGUA